CCUACGGGUGGCAGCAGUGGGGAAUAUUGCACAAUGGGCGCAAGCCUGAUGCAGCCAUGCCGCGUGUGUGAAGAAGGCCUUCGGGUUGUAAAGCACUUUCAGCGGGGAGGAAGGCGGUGAGGUUAAUAACCUCAUCGGUUGACGUUACCCGCAGAAGAAGCACCGGCUAACUCCGUGCCAGCAGCCGCGGUAAUACGGAGGGUGCAAGCGUUAAUCGGAAUUACUGGGCGUAAAGCGCACGCAGGCGGUCUGUCAAGUCGGAUGUGAAAUCCCCGGGCUCAACCUGGGAACUGCAUUCGAAACUGGCAGGCUAGAGUCUUGUAGAGGGGGGUAGAAUUCCAGGUGUAGCGGUGAAAUGCGUAGAGAUCUGGAGGAAUACCGGUGGCGAAGGCGGCCCCCUGGACAAAGACUGACGCUCAGGUGCGAAAGCGUGGGGAGCAAACAGGAUUAGAUACCCCAGUAGUC
rnacentral:rRNA from 1 species